UGAGGCAGAAGCACUGACCAAGUAGUGUUGCAUCAGUCGAGACCGCAUUUAAAAGGUCUCGCACUCCCGAACGUCUUGGUCCGGCGUUGAUCUGCUGUUCUUCGACUUCAUUACUGUGAUGAUAAGGAGAAGCGCAUAGUAAAACAACAAAUACCUUCAACGUUACUAACGCAGGUGAUAAACACAGGUUGGGAGCGACUGAGUCCAUAGGCGGUGCCCUCUACAACCUUCCCAAAGGCUCCAGAACCCAGGAUACGACCUGGGGACAAAGUCACAAGAUAACAACCAAGACAAUGAGUGAGAUGAUGACAAUGACCAGCAGCACCAGCACGGCAGCAGCUACAGUCAGCUCCCGGUGAGGGCCUGUUCGGGAUGACAGU